rnacentral:rRNA from 1 species
GAUGAACGCUGGCGGCGUGCUUAACACAUGCAAGUCGAACGAGAAGUGAAGACGGAAACCUUCGGGCGGAAGGCUUUAUUUCGAGUGGCGGACGGGUGAGUAACGCGUGGGUAACCUGCCUCAUACAGGGGGAUAACAGUUUGAAACGACUGUUAAUACCGCAUAAGACCACAGCACCGCAUGGUGCGGGGGUAAAAACUCCGGUGGUAUGAGAUGGACCCGCGUUCGAUUAGCCAGUUGGCGGGGUAACGGCCCACCAAAGCGACGAUCGAUAGCCGAUCUGAGAGGAUGACCGGACACAUUGGGACUGAGACACGGCCCAAACUCCUACGGGAGGCAGCAGUGGGGAAUAUUGCACAAUGGGGGAAACCCUGAUGCAGCGACGCCGCGUGAGUGAAGAAGUAUUUCGGUAUGUAAAGCUCUAUCAGCAGGGAAGAAAAUGACGGUACCUGAGUAAGAAGCCCCGGCUAACUACGUG